rnacentral:rRNA from 1 species
UACGUAGGUGGCAAGCGUUGUUCGGAAUUAUUGGGCGUAAAGCGCGCGUAGGCGGAUCGCUAAGUCAGGGGUGAAAUCCCAGGGCUCAACCCUGGAACUGCCUUUGAUACUGACGAUCUGGAGAUCGGGAGAGGUUGGUGGAAUUCCGAGUGUAGAGGUGAAAUUCGUAGAUAUUCGGAGGAACACCAGAAGCGAAGGCGGCCAACUGGCCCGAUACUGACGCUGAGGCGCGAAAGCGUGGGGAGCAAACAGG